rnacentral:lncRNA from 1 species
ACCGGGUGUGGGAGGGGGGUGGGGGGUGGGGGUGGGGGGUAUCGGGGAAACUGGGGAAGAUGGGAGAGCUGGAGGAGAGUCGUGGGGUCCGAGGAGCACCUCGGCAUCUGGAGUCUGGCAGGAAUGUUGAAGGACUGAGGGGCUAGCUCAGGCAGAGCAAAGGCAUCGCAAAGGCUGGAAAACAUCGGAGUGAAGCUGAAGGGCCUGAGCUAGGGUUGGAGAGGAAUGGGGAGCCAGACAUUCAUCCCGGUUACUUUUGGUUACAGGACGUGGCGGCUGGUCGGAUAAAGGGGAGCUGCUGGGAAGGGUUCGACCCCAGACCUGGGCAGUGAAGGUAUAGCUGGCAGCAGUGGGCAGGUGAGGACCGCCGUCUGCUGGGCAGGUGAGUCUCCUUCUUCUCUCUUGGCCUCGCUCCACUGACCUUCUAAACGAAGGUUUAGAGAGGGGGCCUGGUGAGAAGAAGCGGCUGGCCUCGCAGCAGAAUGGCACAUAGAAAGGCAGGAUAGUUAGCAAAGGAGACAUCGUCUCGGGGGGAGCCGAGACAGAAGGAGGCUGGGGGACCAUUGGCGACCCCAGGUGGAAAGAGCUCUUAGAGAGAAGAAAGAAGAGGUGCAGGGUUGCCAGUAAAGACUGAGGCCGCUGCCUCCAGGGAGGUGAUAGGAGUCCUUGGAGACAGUGGCAGAGACCAUGGGAUCCAGCAAGAACAGAAGCAUUCUAGGCUGGGGUCAAACAGGGCAAGAUGGGGUCACAAGACACAGAUGGGUCCCCAGCCGCCACAACAUCCCACCCACCGUAAUUCACUUAGAAGAAGGUUCAAGAGUGGCUCUGGCAAAGUCCCAAGUUUGCCAGAGCCUCAAUAACUGGAGAAUGGAAAAGAAGGGCAGUGCAGGGUGUCACCAGAAGGGGAGUGGGGGCUGCAGGUAUCGGACUCCAGAGGGAUUUUACAGCAAGGAGGCUGCAGUGGGUCCAGCCUGCAGACACACCAUUCCCAUGAGGCACUGCGGCCCAGGGACUGGUGCGGAAAGGGCCCACAGUGGACUUGGUACACUGUAUGCCCUAACCGCUCAGUCCCUGGGUCUGGCAUGACAGACAGAACAUUUCCAGGGGAGUCAAGGGCACAGGAUGAAGCCAGACGAGGCGAGGCAGGCGGGGCAGAAUGAAUGAGUUUCUAGGGAGGGAGGUUGGGUGCAGGUAGAGCGAGUAGCUGGGGUGGUGAGCCAGGGAGGCACUGGCCUCCAGAGUCCGUGGCCAAGGAGGGCCUUGCGGGCGGCGACGGAGCAGUGAUCGGUGUCUCGAAGAGCUCGGACUGGAGACUAGGCCAGGUCUCCAGCAGAGGUGGAUGUGCCUGCCAGUCACUGAAGGCGAGGAUGACAGGUGUGGUCAAUGUGACAGAAAGACAUGACAUGGUCCGGUGUGAUGGAGAGGACAGAAGGGCAGUCAUCCAGCCUUCUUGAACACCAUGGGCUGGCGCCUUGUCGUAGAAGCCGUCUGUUCUUUCACUUUUCCCAAAGAGCUAACACUUCUCUGCUGCUCUCUGGAUCCUCCUCCCCCUACCUUGAACCCUCAAGAUGAAAGAAAUGGUGCUACCCAGCUCAUGUCUGGGCCUUUGAAUCCGGGGACUUCUUUAAGUCCGUCUCGUUCUGAAUCAAGAAGAUGCUGCAAUCAGAACCACUACACUACCUGCCUCAGGAAUCUGCUCCAAGGUGAAGCUGAAAGAACAGAUGGUGUCAACAUUUUGAAAGAGCAGACUCAUAGCACCCACCCACCCCUGAGAAUCCAUCUUCAUGGCCAACUCUGCCUGACCCGGGAGACCACCACCCACAUCAUCCUGGAGCCAAGCCUCUACCCCGGGAUGACUUCAUCAUCUCCCUCCUGUCUUUUUCUUCUUCCUCCUUUCCUGUAAUUCUGUUUCUUUCCUUUUGUUCCUUCCUUGCUUGAGAGACUCAAAGCACCCGUGACUCUGUUUCCCCAUUUACCCCCUUUUGAAUUUGCACUAAGUCGAUUGCACUGGUUUGGAGUCCCGGAGAUAGCUUUGAGUCUCUCCGUAUGAAUGUAUACAGCGAGUGUGUAAACCUCUUUGGCAAUGCUGCCCCAGUACCCACCUGUCGUCCAUCUCCGUCUGAGGGCAACUGGGUGUGGCCGUGUGCUUGAGGCCUCGCCUUCCCCUCGCCUAGUCUGGAAGCAGUUCCAUCAUAAAGUGUUCAACAUGCCCUACUUCAUCCUUUGCCCCUCCUCACCAGGGCCUCACCAGAGGUCCUGGGUCCAUCAAUAAAUACAGUUACAGUCAU